rnacentral:rRNA from 1 species
AGUUUGAUCMUGGCUCAGAUUGAACGCUGGCGGCAUGCCUUACACAUGCAAGUCGAACGGUAACAGGUCUUCGGAUGCUGACGAGUGGCGAACGGGUGAGUAAUACAUCGGAACGUGCCCGAUCGUGGGGGAUAACGAGGCGAAAGCUUUGCUAAUACCGCAUACGAUCUACGGRUGAAAGCGGGGGAUCUUCGGACCUCGCGCGGACGGAGCGGCCGAUGGCAGAUUAGGUAGUUGGUGGGAUAAAAGCUUACCAAGCCGACGAUCUGUAGCUGGUCUGAGAGGAUGAUCAGCCACACUGGGACUGAGACACGGCCCAGACUCCUACGGGAGGCAGCAGUGGGGAAUUUUGGACAAUGGGCGAAAGCCUGAUCCAGCCAUGCCGCGUGCAGGAUGAAGGCCUUCGGGUUGUAAACUGCUUUUGUACGGAACGAAAAGCCUCUUUCUAAUAAAGAGGGGUCAUGACGGUACCGUAAGAAUAAGCACCGGCUAACUACGUGCCAGCAGCCGCGGUAAUACGUAGGGUGCAAGCGUUAAUCGGAAUUACUGGGCGUAAAGCGUGCGCAGGCGGUUUUGUAAGACAGAGGUGAAAUCCCCGGGCUCAACCUGGGAACUGCCUUUGUGACUGCAAGGCUGGAGUGCGGCAGANGGGGAUGGAAUUCCGCGUGUAGCAGUGAAAUGCGUAGAUAUGCGGAGGAACACCGAUGGCGAANGCAAUCCCCUGGGCCUGCACUGACGCUCAUGCACGAAAGCGUGGGGAGCAAACAGGAUUAGAUACCCYGGUAGU